AGUGAACGCUGGCGGCGUGCUUAACACAUGCAAGUCGAACGAUGAAGCCGGAGCUUGCUCCGGUGGAUUAGUGGCGAACGGGUGAGUAACACGUGAGCAAUCUGCCCUUGACUCUGGGAUAACUGCGGGAAACUGUAGCUAAUACCGGAUACGACACCUUGGGGCAUCCCAGGGUGUGGAAAGAAUUUCGGUCAAGGAUGAGCUCGCGGCCUAUCAGCUAGUUGGUGAGGUAAUGGCUCACCAAGGCGACGACGGGUAGCCGGCCUGAGAGGGUGACCGGCCACACUGGAACGGAGACACGGUCCAGACUCCUACGGGAGGCAGCAGUGGGGAAUAUUGCACAAUGGGCGAAAGCCUGAUGCAGCAACGCCGCGUGAGGGAUGAAGGCCUUCGGGUUGUAAACCUCUUUUAGCAGGGAAGAAGCGAAAGUGACGGUACCUGCAGAAAAAGCACCGGCUAACUACGUGCCAGCAGCCGCCGCCG
rnacentral:rRNA from 1 species